UGGGUAACCUGCCUCAAAGAGGGGAAUAGCCUCCCGAAAGGGAGAUUAAUACCGCAUAAUAUGUUUAGGUCGCAUGACUUUAACAUCAAAGGAUUUUCUUUUAGAAAUUCCACUUUGAGAUGGACCCGCGGCGCAUUAGCUAGUUGGUGAGGUAACGGCUCACCAAGGCAACGAUGCGUAGCCGGCCUGAGAGGGUGACCGGCCACACUGGGACUGAGACACGGCCCAGACCUCCGUACGGGGAGCAG
rnacentral:rRNA from 1 species